CUCCUACUUGGAAAACAGAAGGCAACAAAAUAAGAUUCAAUUCAAUAUCGACCCUCCAACUCCAUUGCCUAUCUACACAAUUCAAUUCAACCCAACUUGGACCCCAAGAUUAGGCUGAUCAGCUUCUCUAUCUUCAGCGCGUGUCUUCCACGCUCAACAUACAUUUAUGAUUUAUCUCCUCUUUUUUUGGCUUGGAUAAUUAUACCGAAGCAAAGUUACCGAAUCAGACCAAACCGGAAUUUCGGUAAUUUGGUUCCGGUUUCAAUUUAGAACCCCAUAUUGUUACAUGAACUGAACGCAGUGUUCGUCACUUCCAAACCAAACUGAUCCAAAGGUUUGAAUUCGGUUUAACUUCGGCUAGA